GACGAACGCUGGCGGCGUGCUUAACACAUGCAAGUCGAACGGAAAGGCCCUGCUUUUGUGGGGUGCUCGAGUGGCGAACGGGUGAGUAACACGUGAGUAACCUGCCCUUGACUUUGGGAUAACUUCAGGAAACUGGGGCUAAUACCGGAUAGGAGCUCCGGCUGCAUGGUGGGGGUUGGAAAGUUUCGGCGGUUGGGGAUGGACUCGCGGCUUAUCAGCUUGUUGGUGGGGUAGUGGCUUACCAAGGCUUUGACGGGUAGCCGGCCUGCGAGGGUGACCGGCCACAUUGGGACUGAGAUACGGCCCAGACUCCUACGGGACGCAGCAGUGGGGAAUAUUGCACAAUGGGCGGAAGCCUGAUGCAGCACCGCCGCGUGCGGGAUGACGGCCUUCGGGUUGUAAACCGCUUUCGCCUGUGACGAAGCGUGAGUGACGGUAAUGGGUAGAGAAGCACCGGCUAACUACGUG
rnacentral:rRNA from 1 species